UGGACGCUUUCCCUUUAGCAUUAGUCUCCGUAGUGGCUAAAUUCCGAAAUUGGUCAGUCGUUACACUGCUGGAGGAACUUCAGCGGAUUAAUCAAUGAAGCGGACCGUUGGACGUUUGAGUUGAUGAUCGGGAAUAGGUCUUUGCUUGAAACAAUGUUGGUUUGCCUUAUUAACUUGUAGAGCACAGAAAGGCUAUGCUUCUUAAAGCGGAACGCACGCAUUAAACGUCCCGAAGUUCGAGUGUCCAGUGUCAUGAAACUUAAUCCACAGCAAGCUCCGUUAUAUGGCGAGUGUCUCCUUACAGUGCAGCUGUGCGAUGAAGAGCGCUUCAGGGAUGAAGAGGACGUAGAGUUCUACCUGCUGUUCUCCGGCACCACUCAGCGGCACCUCACCACCACCCUGAGGAUCAGCCAUGUCACCCUGCAGGCCGUCU